AGGGCUUGACAUGCCGCGAAUCCUCUUGAAAGAGAGGGGUGCCCUUGGGAACGCGGACAC
rnacentral:rRNA from 1 species